UGGGGAAUAUUGCGCAAUGGGGGGAACCCUGACGCAGCCAUGCCGCGUGAAUGAAGAAGGCCUUCGGGUUGUAAAGUUCUUUCGGUAUUGAGGAAGGUUGAUGUGUUAAUAGUACAUCAAAUUGACGUUAAAUACAGAAGAAGCACCGGCUAACUCCGUGCCAGCAGCCGCGGUAAUACGGAGGGUGCGAGCGUUAAUCGGAAUAACUGGGCGUAAAGGGCACGCAGGCGGUUAUUUAAGUGAGGUGUGAAAGCCCCGGGCUUAACCUGGGAAUUGCAUUUCAGACUGGGUAACUAGAGUACUUUAGGGAGGGGUAGAAUUCCACGUGUAGCGGUGAAAUGCGUAGAGAUGUGGAGGAAUACCGAAGGCGAAGGCAGCCCCUUGGGAAUGUACUGACGCUCAUGUGCGGAAGCGUGGGGAGCAAACAGGAUUAGAUACCCUGGUAGUCCACGCUGUAAACGCUGUCGAUUUGGGGGUUGGGGUUUAACUCCGGCGCCCGUAGCUAACGUGAUAAAUCGACCGCCUGGGGAGUACGGCCGCAAGGUUA
rnacentral:rRNA from 1 species